GACAGAGGCCUCAAGCGUUAGGCGGAAUCACUGGGCUUAAAGCGUGUGUAGGCGGAUCGUUAAGUGUCUUGUGAAAUCCCACGGCUCACCCGUGGAACUGCUGGGCAUACUGGCGAUCUUGGGCCAACUAGGGGCAGCCGGAACAAGCGGUGGAGCGGUGAAAUGCGUAGAUAUCGCUUGGAACGCCGAAGGUGAAAACAGGCUGCUGGGGUUGUGC
rnacentral:rRNA from 1 species